AGAGUUUGAUCAUGGCUCAGGAUGAACGCUGGCGGCGUGCUUAACACAUGCAAGUCGAACGGGAAACCUUUUAAAGAAGCUUCGGCAGAUUUAGCUGGUUUCUAGUGGCGGACGGGUGAGUAACGCGUGGGUAACCUGCCUUGUACAGGGGGAUAACAGUCAGAAAUGACUGCUAAUACCGCAUAAGCGCACAGGACCGCAUGGUCCAGUGUGAAAAACUCCGGUGGUAUAAGAUGGACCCGCGUUGGAUUAGCUAGUUGGUGAGGUAACGGCCCACCAAGGCGACGAUCCAUAGCCGGCCUGAGAGGGUGAACGGCCACAUUGGGACUGAGACACGGCCCAGACUCCUACGGGAGGCAGCAGUGGGGAAUAUUGCACAAUGGGGGAAACCCUGAUGCAGCGACGCCGCGUGAAGGAAGAAGUAUCUCGGUAUGUAAACUUCUAUCAGCAGGGAAGAAAAUGACGGUACCUGACUAAGAAGCCCCGGCUAACUACGUGCCAGCAGCCGCGGUAAUUC
rnacentral:rRNA from 1 species